rnacentral:lncRNA from 12 species
GCUGUCUCUUGGUCUGGCUGCAAACUUAAAAAUGGAAGAGGAAAAAAAUCCCCAACGGAAAUGAAACUCAGAAAAUGAUCUGCUGGAGUAGCAGGGUGAGGAAAGUGAGGCGCUGCCUUUCCCAAAGCUUUUGAUUGGUGGUGUUAUAGAAUAGGCCAUAUUGGUAUGGGUGUGAGAGAAACUAGGUGUUAAUUGGCACCCCUAAAAUGUGUGAAGCAGGCAGGUUGGGAUGUCAGACCUGGAUGGGGAUAUUGAGGCUUCACUGGUGCAGAGAAGAGCAGGGCAGGAGUGAGAGAACCCAGUGAUCACCUCACACACACUUGAUGGCAAAAAGGGAACUCCCAAGCAAAAUGAAGAAGCAUUUUUAAAUAGGAAACCAAAAGGGUCAUCUGAAAGCACAAAAUAUUUGCAGGCAUCAUGGCUACAGCUGAA